UGGGAUCAGUGGCGAACGGGUGAGUAACACGUGAGCAACCUGCCCCUGACUCUGGGAUAAGCGCUGGAAACGGCGUCUAAUACUGGAUAUGUGACGUGACCGCAUGGUCUGCGUCUGGAAAGAAUUUCGGUUGGGGAUGGGCUCGCGGCCUAUCAGCUUGUUGGUGAGGUAAUGGCUCACCAAGGCGUCGACGGGUAGCCGGCCUGAGAGGGUGACCGGCCACACUGGGACUGAGACACGGCCCAGACUCCUACGGGAGGCAGCAGUGGGGAAUAUUGCACAAUGGGCGCAAGCCUGAUGCAGCAACGCCGCGUGAGGGACGACGGCCUUCGGGUUGUAAACCUCUUUUAGCAGGGAAGAAGCGAAAGUGACGGUACCUGCAGAAAAAGCGCCGGCUAACUACGUGCCAGCAGCCGCGGUAAUACGUAGGGCGCAAGCGUUAUCCGGAAUUAUUGGGCGUAAAGAGCUCGUAGGCGGUUUGUCGCGUCUGCUGUGAAAUCCGGAGGCUCAACCUCCGGCCUGCAGUGGGUACGGGCAGACUAGAGUGCGGUAGGGGAGAUUGGAAUUCCUGGUGUAGCGGUGGAAUGCGCAGAUAUCAGGAGGAACACCGAUGGCGAAGGCAGAUCUCUGGGCCGUAACUGACGCUGAGGAGCGAAAGGGUGGGGAGCAAACAGGCUUAGAUACCCUGGUAGUCCACCCCGUAAACGUUGGGAACUAGUUGUGGGGUCCAUUCCACGGAUUCCGUGACGCAGCUAACGCAUUAAGUUCCCCGCCUGGGGAGUACGGCCGCAAGGCUAAAACUCAAAGGAAUUGACGGGGACCCGCACAAGCGGCGGAGCAUGCGGAUUAAUUCGAUGCAACGCGAAGAACCUUACCAAGGCUUGACAUAUACGAGAACGGGCCAGAAAUGGUCAACUCUUUGGACACUCGUAAACAGGUGGUGCAUGGUUGUCGUCAGCUCGUGUCGUGAGAUGUUGGGUUAAGUCCCGCAACGAGCGCAACCCUCGUUCUAUGUUGCCAGCACGUAAUGGUGGGAACUCAUGGGAUACUGCCGGGGUCAACUCGGAGGAAGGUGGGGAUGACGUCAAAUCAUCAUGCCCCUUAUGUCUUGGGCUUCACGCAUGCUACAAUGGCCGGUACAAAGGGCUGCAAUACCGCGAGGUGGAGCGAAUCCCAAAAAGCCGGUCCCAGUUCGGAUUGAGGUCUGCAACUCGACCUCAUGAAGUCGGAGUCGCUAGUAAUCGCAGAUCAGCAACGCUGCGGUGAAUACGUUCCCGGGUCUUGUACACACCGCCCGUCAAGUCAUGAAAGUCGGUAACACCUGAAGCCGG
rnacentral:rRNA from 1 species